rnacentral:rRNA from 1 species
UGGGGAAUUUUGCACAAUGGGCGCAAGCCUGAUGCAGCAACGCCGCGUGAGUGAAGAAGGCUCUUGGGUCGUAAAGCUCUUUCGCGUGAGAAGAAGGGUGUUAUCUCUAAUAGGUUUAGCAUCUGACGGUAUCACGAUAAGAAGCACCGGCUAAUUUCGUGCCAGCAGCCGCGGUAAUACGAAAGGUGCGAGCGUUGUUCGGAUUGACUGGGCGUAAAGCGCGUGUAGGCGGCUUAGUAAGUUGGUUGUGAAAGCCCCGAGCUCAACUUGGGAAUUGCAAUCAAAACUACUUUGCUUGAAUGCUUGAGAGGUCUGUGGAAUUCCAGGUGUAGCAGUGAAAUGCGUAGAUA